rnacentral:misc_RNA from 1 species
UGGCUCUGGCAUCGAUGAAGAACGCAGCGAAAUGCGAUAAGUAAUGUGAAUUGCAGAAUUCAGUGAAUCAUCGAAUCUUUGAACGCACAUUGCGCCCGCCAGUAUUCUGGCGGGCAUGCCUGUUCGAGCGUCAUUAACACCCCUCAAGCCCCCGGGCUUGGUGUUGGGGAUCGGGAGCGGCGGAGCCGGAAGAACCCCCCUCGGGGGGUCCGUACGGCGAAGCCCCCGUCCCCCAAAUGCAUCGGCGGUCACGCCGCGGCCUCUUGCGCGUAGUAGCUAACACCUCGCGCCGGAGCCCGUCGUGGUCCACGCCGUAAAACCCCCGACUUUUUCAAGUUGACCUCGAAUCAGGUAGGACUACCCGCUGA